rnacentral:rRNA from 1 species
UUUCUUUGCUGGCGACCGGCGCACGGGUGAGUAACACGUAUCCAACCUGCCCUUUACUCGGGGAUAGCCUUUCGAAAGAAAGAUUAAUACCCGAUGGCAUAAUGAUUCCGCAUGGUUUCAUUAUUAAAGGAUUCCGGUAAAGGAUGGGGAUGCGUUCCAUUAGGUUGUUGGUGAGGUAACGGCCCACCAAGCCUCCGAUGGAUAGGGGUUCUGAGAGGAAGGUCCCCCACAUUGGAACUGAGACACGGUCCAA